UAGAAAAACAGUACAUGUCCCUGGUAUGGUACAAGAGUCUAUAUAACAAGAAAUAUGAUUCUGAUGGCUCAGACUAUUAUAAUUAUAAUAUGAGUUUUAAGUCAGAACUCCUUGUGAAUUGGCAGCAGACUGUUCCCUUGAAGCUGAAAAAAAUAUACAUUUGUAUAAUUAAUUUUUGUCAGAUAAGUUAUUUGUCUUCAUGUAUGACUUAAUUAGGUAUGAGUCAUGUGCCUUCUUAACUAUUUCUUAUUUUGUUAUAUGUACUUACCUA
rnacentral:misc_RNA from 1 species